rnacentral:misc_RNA from 1 species
CCUUAAAGAUGUAGCUUGGUACUUAACGUUUAUGCCGAGACGCGCCAAAGUGUAUGAAGGGUUCGCCCACUUCCUUUAGUGCUGAUCUGCUAGUUGAGCUGCCCUGCCCACCAGACUCUUCGGGGUCUACUAAGUAUAACUGUCAAAGGUUAUGCUUGAACUUUGGUCUCAAAUCAGGUAGGAAGACCCGCUGAACUUAA